rfam:Morus notabilis contig6662, whole genome shotgun sequence.
AUGUAUUGAUUUGCACUAGGCUAUGAUCAGUUUGUUAUUGUGCUAAUUAGCAAAAAUGCAGCCUAGAAAGCUUUAUCUGAACC